AAGCAGGGGAUCGUAAGACCUUGCGCUUUUGGAGUGGCCGAUGCCUGAUUAGCUAGUUGGUGGGGUAAGGGCCUACCAAGGCAACGAUCAGUAGUUGGUCUGAGAGGACGACCAGCCACACUGGGACUGAGACACGGCCCAGACUCCUACGGGAGGCAGCAGUGGGGAAUUUUGGACAAUGGGCGAAAGCCUGAUCCAGCAAUGCCGCGUGAGUGAAGAAGGCCUUCGGGUUGUAAAGCUCUUUCAGUCGGGAAGAAAAGGUUGUGACUAAUAAUCACAAUUCAUGACGGUACCGACAGAAGAAGCACCGGCUAACUACGUGCCAGCAGCCGCGGUAAUACGUAGGGUGCAAGCGUUAAUCGGAAUUACUGGGCGUAAAGGGUGCGCAGGCGGCUUUGUAAGUCAGAUGUGAAAUCCCCGGGCUUAACCUGGGAAUUGCGUUUGAAACUACAAGACUAGAGU
rnacentral:rRNA from 1 species